CUAAUUAUUUUUUUUCUAUUUUAAACUUUUUCCUCUAAAGUUCCUCUAAAUUAUAUCACGAUUGGAAGUGCCGCCCAAAUAUCCAUUGGAAUUUGCCCUAAUUUACACACUUGAGAGAAUAGGAAUCGAUCCGCACACCGUGAAGCCGCCGACGAUUCGAUCCGCAGACCGUGAAUCAGCGUCGCUUUUCUUCUGGUUCAGGGGGACAAAUUUAAUUUUUCUGAUGCAUUAAAGAGAAAGAAGGUGUUGGCUUCAAGAACCAUGUCAUACAGGCCUUUGAUUCCUUCUUAUAUUCAGAUAUGUAAAACUAGCAGAGCAAAGAGCUAAAGAAUGAUAAAAUGCAAGCCUAAGGAUAAUGAUCAACUUCCUGAAGUUUUGUGAGUUGCACUGCAACCGACUUUCUCAUGAGUGUUUUGGAAAUACUGAAUGCAAUACUGAUAAACGUGUUGCCAAGGAACCGAGAGAAUAAUAUUUAAGGAACAAAUGAAGGGCUACUAAUCUUCAGAAGAUGGAAGUGCUUCCGUGGAUUAAUUUGUGGUUGUGACAAACAAAGAGCAUAAGGACACCGUUGACUUUAUGGUAGAGGCGUUAUUAACAAAUUGAUAAAAAAAGUGGAUGGUUGUGAUAUACCUACCAUCAGGGGCGCAACUUAGUGUAUGUCCGGGGGGCGCCCCCCCCCCCCCCCCCCCGAACUUUCAAAGCUAGUGUUGAAGUUAAAACAAUUAUUUGCAUGAAAUGCGAAAAGAUAUUAAAGAGGAACGUGAAAGGAAAAAACGCAGAGUUAGAAGCCACAUGGAAAGAUAAUUGACAACCCAUAAGAAAACACUGAAGCAACUACCUUUUAGAGGUGGAGAGUUUUUAACAUGUGUAGAAGGUUUUUGUUACUCUUAAUUAAUUGUAAUUGACAACUUUGUGUUGAAUACAUUAUUUUGAGUUUGAACAUA